AUACGGAGGAUGCGAGCGUUAUCCGGAUUUAUUGGGUUUAAAGGGUGCGUAGGUGGUAGAUUAAGUCAGCGGUGAAAGUUUGUCGCUCAACGAUAAAAUUGCCGUUGAUACUGGUUUACUUGAGUAUAGUUGAAGUAGGCGGAAUGCGUGGUGUAGCGGUGAAAUGCAUAGAUAUCACGCAGAACUCCGAUUGCGAAGGCAGCUUACUAAGUUAUAACUGACACUGAAGCACGAAAGCGUGGGUAUCAAACAGGAUUAGAUACCCUGGUAGUCCACGCAGUAAACGAUGAUUACUAGCUGUCGGGGGUUACCCCCCUCGGUGGCGCAGCUAACGCAUUAAGUACUCCGCCUGGGAAGUACGCUCGCAAGAGUGAAACUCAAAGGAAUUGACGGGG
rnacentral:rRNA from 1 species